rnacentral:lncRNA from 1 species
GGGGACAAGAGGAAGAGAACUUUGCUGUGACUCCAAGUGACAAAAUCCUAGAGAUUCAGGGUGCCAUUUUUAUUUCCCAUGGAGCUGAGGACCUGAGCACAGGCAGCCACCAGGGCUGCUCAGACCCUCCCGACCUUCAGGGGUGGGAGUGGUUUUGGAGUUCUGAUCUUGGGUAGGCAGGCCUGUCAUAUUGCCAGAAAUACAGGCAUAGAGGCAAGAGAGAGAAGAAGAGGAGAAGAAGAUAGCAGGAAGUAAAGGGGACAAUGAAGAGAGCUAAGGGACUCCUUCCUUCUUCCUCCUGGCACUGUCUCCUUCCUCUUUCUGCGACUCCACACCAAUCUCUUGGCCACCAGCUGGAAUGUCAAACAGUGGAUGGUGACAGCAGGCAGGGAAGGGGCCAGCUGCAAGGCAGGCCCAGGCAGGAGGCCGGCAGCAGGAGGAACAGGAUGACACCCUUGGGAAGCAGUUGGUGAUGGGCAGGGCACACAGAUGGCCCUGCUGAGGGCUUUUUCGUACGAAGGUUCUUCCCAUCUCCAAGGCCAGCACGGAAGAUAGAAGGUGGUAGGCCUCCUAGGCCUUUGGCAAAGGAAUGACCAUCAAAUAAGGAUGCACUGUGGUAGAGGAAGACGUUUCCAUACCAAGUCUUCAGCCAUGGACUGUGCUCCAAUAUCUAUGGAGAGGCUGCUCAGCUGAGGUGGGUUCUGAAACUCCCGAUAGAAGGUCCCCAGGUCCAUCGGAAGAAUGUCAUCUUUAGAAAAAGCUGGUUUCUUCAAAAACAAGACAGAGUCAGUUUAGCUUGCCUUGAACCACAGAGGAGAUAAGCUAUGAACAAGUCUUUCCUUCUAGCAAUUAUCAAAAGGUUCUUUCAGGCUUAUCUUAGGGAGAGAAAUCUUUACACUUUUCUCUCCCAGACUGUUCACUUCUAAUGC